GCCAAGUGCAACAGUGCACGCCUGUAGUCCUAGCUACUCAAGAGGUUGAGGGAAGAGGAUCACUUCAGCCCAGGAAGUUCUGGUCUGCAAUGAACUAUGCUGAUUACUUGUCUCAGUUCAGCAUCAAUAUGGUGAUCCCUCCAGUAGAGAUACCACCAGAUUACCAAAGGAAGGGUAAACUGGCCCAAGAAGGGAACAGAGCAAGUCAAAGCUGCUGUGCUGACCCACAGUAGGAUCAUGCCUGAAAACAGCCACUGCACUCCAACCUGAGCAACAUAGUGAGACUGUUUCUUAA
rfam:Otolemur garnettii contig038913, whole genome shotgun sequence.